GCCCUGCCCCCAUUUGCGGCAGUUCAGUAGAAUUCCGGGGUCUGACCCUGACUCAAACCUUGUUCCAACCAAGUAAUUUCGGCAUAGGGAAAGUGUCUUCAUGCCAGAAGUGGGCAUCUCUUAGCAGUGAACGGAGUGUAUAUGGGGGGGAGGGCAGUGUAUGAGGAAGAAAGGUAAGGGAGGCAGAGCAGCAAUUUGAUUGGAUUUUUCUGAUGGGACUUUGAGAUGAAAUGCCUGAAUACAUCAGAUCUGGAAUAAUCAUCCUUCCAGGGCAUGUAACCUAUGAGAAGAUUUAAAGACAAUCAGGAAGAAGAUGCUUCAUAUAUAACUUCAGAGAACUUGUCUGUGGAAAGAAGGCCUAUGUUUGCCUAUGAAGAGAGUGCGCAGGUUUCCAAGGUUGAAUGGUGACAGAGAAAGCAUUUAUUAGAUACUUUUUAAUAAUAUGCCAGGGAUGAUGCCAGACACUGAGAAUAAAAACACAAGGAAAAAAAAAAACACCCACACACCCUGUCUUCAGGCAGCUUACAUUCUAACAGGAGAAGAUGACAUCUGAAGAAAGCUGAAAAAUCCAAUGGAGGUGGGGAAUAUUUCCUAUAUGAAGACAAGGUCCAGAAGGAAUAUUAAACUGAACCAAGUUUGGAAUAAACAUGAUUGAUGGAAGAAGAGGGACAUUCAAUGAAACUGUGAAUUCAUUUAUUUU